CCGAGCACCGUAAUCAGAAGCCUGGAGAGACAGAGUGGGCUCCUCAGGGGCUGGUGCUGAGGACAGUGGCUGGGAUGUAGCUCCUCUCUGUAGCAGCAAUGCCAAACCCACCGUCCAGCUCUAAAAAGAAAGAGAAAGAGAAGGGUAAGGAGCGCUAUGAAAGGCUGAGCUUUCCUAUCUGCUUUCCAAGCAGUCUUUUCUCCGAGGGAGGUACCAACUCAGCAACAGAAGCUGAGUCUCAGAGUGCUGGCGACUGCACACCUGACGCACUCAUCGCCCGACAUGCGUAAGCGCUUCGAGGAGGAAAGAACCCCAGCCCUGGAGCAGCCCCAGCACCGCUUCUCACCGUGAGCAGCAGAACCGGGACGGUGAGGCUGUUCCAGCUGAGAACUCGAGGAACCCCCAACUCUGGCCGCUGUGAGACCCCCUCCUGCUCAAACAGUUUUGGUGCUCAGGCACCGCGUUCCUCAAGGCAGCUCAGAGCUUCAAUUUUCUCCUCUGAGGAGCACCAAGGGCGACACACCAACUCCGACACACCAACUCCAGCCGUAACCCUAAACCUUUUGUGGGGUAACAACAUCCCGCAGCCAAGGAGGUCAGCAUUGGAGUCUCUGAGUGGUGGGACUUGGCUGCUGAACAACCCCAACUCUCUCCACCUGGCCUCAUAGCAGAAGUGCUCCAGCCCUCGGAUCAUCUCUGUGGCCUCCUCUGGACCCAUCCCAACAGUUCCAUAUCCUCCUUAUGUUGGCGACUUUAUUCUUACCACUGCUGUAGAUCAAACCUAGAAGCACUAAACUCACAAUUUAUGAAAAUAAAGGAAAAUCAAACCCAGUUUUCUGCUACCCAGAAGAAGAAAUAAACUCCAAUAGUCAGAAGAAAUGCAAAGCUCCUUCCACUAACAUCAAUUUCUACCCAUUAUGGUUAAAGAAAAACCUCUGCCUCUAACUGGAGUCAAAGGGGUUUGUUAUUCAUGUCCGAGAGUGCUGUCGAAUAAGCAGAGGGCAGUACCCAGGCUGUUUACUUGCACUCAACCCCAAACGGACGAGAAACUGAUUUUCACUACCCGCUCUAAAAUAGAUUUUGAUUUUCCUAUUGCUUUCUCUCAAUCACUUGUAGCUCCCCAAAGCAAUCCUGAUGAUUUGUGACACCUUUUGACACCAUCCAUGAGCCAAGGACUGCUGGGGCUUUGCUUCCUCAGCAGACAUCAUCUCAGUAAUUGACUCUAUAUCAAUCAAUUCCUGGGGCACAGCCUCUGCUGGAUAUUUCUUUUGGGUGAAACUCACGGCUGAUUUGAAUCAUGCAGGAAACCCCACACUGCAGCUCACCCCACUAGGGAGCUGAAGCCAGAUGUCUUCUGCCCGAGACUCAUCCUGUUCCAGGACACCUCGUGGUGCUCCAGAGCGGCCCCAGUGCCACCGCAACGCAUUUCCUUUCCUGAUGGGCAGAAAGCUGAUCUCAGUUUUCCUACCAUGGCUUUCACACGGUUCCCGAGUGGUCCUCAGCCCUCUCGCUGACACAUCUAGACUUUUCCAAGAAGCUGCAACCGAAAUCUGGUCAUCUCAACUUUUGCAAACUCAUGAGUCGGUUGAAGUGAUAAACACUCACACUGCGGUGGUUGUAAAAGCGUUACUCAAAAGUAACCUGAAUGGUUUCAUUUCUUCUUUA